rnacentral:rRNA from 1 species
ACGAACGCUGGCGGCGUGCUUAACCCAUGCAAGUCGAACGGAAAGGCCCUGCUUUUGUGGGGUGCUCGAGUGGCGAACGGGUGAGUAACACGUGAGUAACCUGCCCUUGACUUUGGGAUAACUUCAGGAAACUGGGGCUAAUACCGGAUAGGAGCUCCUGCUGCAUGGUGGGGGUUGGAAAGUUUCGGCGGUUGGGGAUGGACUCGCGGCUUAUCAGCUUGUUGGUGGGGUAGUGGCUUACCAAGGCUUUGAUGGGUAGCCGGCCUGAGAGGGUGACCGGCCACAUUGGGACUGAGAUACGGCCCAGACUCCUACGGGAGGCAGCAGUGGGGAAUAUUGCACAAUGGGCGGAAGCCUGAUGCAGCAACGCCGCGUGCGGGAUGACGGCCUUCGGGUUGUAAACCGCUUUCGCCUGUGACGAAGCGUGAGUGACGGUAAUGGGUAAAGAAGCACCGGCUAACUACGUG